rnacentral:rRNA from 1 species
ACGGAGGGUGCAAGCGUUAAUCGGAAUUACUGGGCGUAAAGGGUGUGUAGGUUGUUUGAUAAGUUAUCUGUAAAAUCCCCGGGCUCAACCUGGGCAGGGCACAUAAGACUGUUGAACUCGAGUAUAGUAGAGGGUAGUGGAAUUUCCGGUGUAGCGGUGAAAUGCGUAGAGAUCGGAAGGAACACCAGAGGCGUAGGCGGCUCCCUAGCCUAGUACUGACACUGAGGCACGAAAGCGUGGGGAGCAAACAG